UUGAGGGCAAUAUAUGGUACACUCGCACCCUUUUAGAGGCAUCCAUCUGUUUCCUUUCGUGCAUUAAGAGGAGACAGAAGAUACGACACGUGUGCUUUCACUGACAUUCUCAUGAAUGCAAAGGAUUAACAAUUAUUAUAAUUUUGUGCCACCUCUCUAAGAUAAUGUGAGCGCAUGCUGCCGACCAGUUCCGAUUGAUAACCUUCCCAUUUAGACGCGUAGCUGCUGGGGUGGGUUAAAGGGGAGAGAAGGGAGAGGAGGGAUGACCUUCGACAUUUUGUCCUACCGACUCAUCGCACCUCCCAUCCCAUGCAGUCCUCUACCACAAUGCAGUGCCAAGUGGUAGAGUGCCUUGCUGCUCCCACAACGAAAAUGGAGAAUCAUGCUUUGCUUCAUGUGCCUGUGCAGACGUGCCUACAAAUGCCUCGGCCUGGACGAAACCGUACUGCACGGUGCCAACUCGUUCCACGCCGACCGGGCUAGAGCCUCUGGCACCCAAGCACCGCCACGACGAUAGGUAACUCUUGCCCGAAGACCAGUGCUACGUGCUGAUCGCCACCGAGCGCGAGAUGUUCUAGGCAUGCCUGCAAUCAGCCUGCAAUGCCCUGCUAUCCCGUGAGAAAGAGCUGGACAAGCUGGACUCCGAGAGCUGCGACGGGGACUGUGGCGCUACACUGGCCGCUGGAGCGCACGCUGAACCCUCUGGACGCAGCAUGGCCAGCUACCGACCAAAGAACCAGCCGGCGCUGCUGCACGAGAUGCUGGAUGCCGUGUUGGCCUCCACGGCUGCCACGAAGACCAUGCGAGUCAAGGCCACCUGCAUGUCCUACGUGAACCCUGAGAUGCUCAAGAACGUGGACCCAGGGGGCACGUGCCGUCGAGAUCUGGAUGUCGCACGCCAUUCACGUGCUGCUCACCGAAGGAAACUCAGCGGCAGCAAAGGAGGCGGAGGAUUGCUGCCGCUGCAGUAGUCCAAUUGAUUUGCUGCAAUCCUGUUCAUGGCCGCAUUUUGCAUAUAGUAAAUGUUUUCUUUUUGUAUGC